CAAGGGACAUUGACACCUAUAUCUAUAGCAGACCAAAUGGGACUACCCAGCCACCAGUCUCCAGAACAAUCUCAUCAUCAAUCCAUUACAGUGCAGAGAGGAGUGCAAGAGAAGCAAGUAAAACAGUUUUAGCUCCAGACACCAAAGAAGAGUUAGACAGUCCCUGGGUGAAGGUUCUUUCUCAUACCAUGACUCUCAAGAUCUUGGCUGCACAGAGACUCAGCCGAGGAAAGGAAGGUACUGAUUAUUUAGGAAUCAUAGAGAAGCUAACAACAAGUGAAAUUUUUUAAUAAGUCUUCUA
rnacentral:lncRNA from 1 species